AUCCAGCCAUGCCGCGUGUGUGAAGAAGGCCUUUUGGUUGUAAAGCACUUUAAGCGAGGAGGAGGAGCUCUUGGUUAAUACCCAAGAUGCUUGGACGUUACUCGCAGAAUAAGCACCGGCUAACUCUGUGCCAGCAGCCGCGGUAAUACAGAGGGUGCAAGCGUUAAUCGGAUUUACUGGGCGUAAAGCGCGCGUAGGUGGCCAAUUAAGUCAAAUGUGAAAUCCCCGAGCUUAACUUGGGAAUUGCAUUCGAUACUGGUUGGCUAGAGUAUGGGAGAGGAUGGUAGAAUUCCAGGUGUAGCGGUGAAAUGCGUAGAGAUCUGGAGGAAUACCGAUGGCGAAGGCAGCCAUCUGGCCUAAUACUGACACUGAGGUGCGAAAGCAUGGGGAGCAAACAGGAUUAGAUACCCUGGUAGUCCAUGCCGUAAACGAUGUCUACUAGCCGUUGGGGCCUUUGAGGCUUUAGUGGCGCAGCUAACGCGAUAAGUAGACCGCCUGGGGAGUACGGUCGCAAGACUA
rnacentral:rRNA from 2 species